rnacentral:rRNA from 1 species
GGUAAUACGGAGGGUGCAAGCGUUGUCCGGAUUUAUUGGGUUUAAAGGGUGCGUAGGCGGGUCUUUAAGUCAGUGGUGAAAGCCUGCAGCUCAACUGUAGAACUGCCAUUGAUACUGGAGACCUUGAGUAUACUAGAGGUAGGCGGAAUUUAUGGUGUAGCGGUGAAAUGCAUAGAUACCAUAAAGAACACCGAUAGCGUAGGCAGCUUACUGGAGUAUAACUGACGCUGAUGCACGAAAGCAUGGGUAGCGAACAGGAUUAGAUAC